rnacentral:rRNA from 1 species
AACGAACGCUGGCGGCAGGCUUAACACAUGCAAGUCGAGCGCGUAGCAAUACGAGCGGCAGACGGGUGAGUAACGCGUGGGAAUCUACCGUACCCUACGGAAUAGCUCUGGGAAACUGGAGGUAAUACCGUAUACGCCCUAACGGGGAAAGAUUUAUCGGGGUAUGAUGAGCCCGCGUUGGAUUAGCUAGUUGGUGGGGUAAAGGCCUACCAAGGCGACGAUCAAUAGCUGGUCUGAGAGGAUGAUCAGCCACAUUGGGACUGAGACACGGCCCAAACUCCUACGGGAGGCAGCAGUGGGGAAUAUUGGACAAUGGGCGCAAGCCUGAUCCAGCCAUGCCGCGUGAGUGAUGAAGGUCUUAGGAUUGUAAAGCUCUUUCACCGAUGAAGAUAAUGACGGUAGUCGGAGAAGAAGCCCCGGCUAACUUCGUGCCAGCCGCCGCAGUAA